CCAAAACAAACAUUUGGUGAAGUAAAUAAAGAGAGUUAAAAGAGAAACAGAGAGAGAGAACCGAGAGAGAAAAGAGAGGAAGAAGAGGGCUUCGUGAGACAUCAAAAUUCAAGGCAAAAAUUGUGGAAAAAUCAUCCUAAGGAUUGGAGGAAGGCGUCUCUACACCUCUUGGGAAUUAAUUCGUUGAGUUUCAAAUCCACGCUUUUGCUAUUUUGGAGAUUCAUAGACUUUUGUGUGGUUCGCCUCAACUUAGAAGAUUAGAAUUUUGGAAGGAUCAAACGUGGGCAUCUUGUAGUUGAGGUUUUGUUUAGGGUCAUUCUAGGAUAUAGUUUCAUUUUUAUUUUAUUUUUUUUAUGAAGGAGGAUGAUUGUAAAUAUUUGCUUAUGAAGUUGGAUGUAUUGAUAGAUUCGUGAAUAGUAUGUUUUAUUUUUGGGGGAAGUGAUGCUUGGGAACUAUCUUGUAGCGUGAUGAUAUUUUGUUUUUGUCUUUGAAUGGAUCAUCUCAUAUAUGUUGGACAGUCGAAAGGUCUUUUGCACUUUUGGUGAUGUGGUGAUGUGAUAUAAGAAUUAUAUAGGAAUUGUUGUGUUCAGGUGCUGUAGCGUUUGAAGUGCACCCUCUUGGCAGGGUUUUGCCUUGCCAAGAUUGGGUCGUUACAGUUACCAUUCCGUGAAAGGAACAAUAGCCACUAAAGCCACUGAGUGACAUGCAGGUCCCAAUCAUAAUGUAUGUUUGGAAUGUAGAGAGAGAAUUUCAGAAUGGGGCCGUUGUGAAGUAACAGUAUAUUACUAAUUACACUCACAAACGUACAUGCAUAGAGCGGGUUAUUGCGGAUGAUAUCUGCAAAAAAGCGCUUAUUAAGCACAAGAUGUGGGAGUGAAGACCAAAUAUACCUCCAGUUUCUUGACAAGAUACUCGUCCUUGCUGCAUCUCGAAUGGGCAUGCGCUCUAGAAUGUUGUCUAUUAAGUUUCUUGGCAGGCCAUUGACUAUAUCAUCUGUGCCAUUAUCUAUUGCCAUCCUUUUAUGGCUGUCUGUCAUUAUUGCCUGAUAUUCAUAACAAGCACACCCAUUAAUUUUCUUUGAAUUUGUUCUAAAACUAGAUCAAUUCAGAUAUAUUUCAUUGAAUUUGAAAACUAAACUUGCAGUAGACCUUUAUACGUCACUAUUUUCUCUGUUAAGGUAAGCAAGACAAUAGCACAAUUGAAGCCUUGUAAUCAAGAGUAUGAGAACUAUACCAGAGUAGCCAACUAGAUUUUUGGAUAUAUACAUAUUCUAAUGUACAAAUUACGGAAGAGAAGAGCAACACAAAACAAUAUAUUACAUAUUCAAGUAAAAUUAUAUUCCCAUAAAAUAUACAUGCAAUUCAUAGAAAAUAGAAGACCCCUUACUAGUGAAAGGAUGCAAAAGGGUAAGGGACAAGGUCAGCGUGAAUAGAGUCAAGAAACAGGACUAAAUUACCUUAGGGUUUCACAUAGCCCUUGGUGAUGCCCGACUA